rnacentral:rRNA from 1 species
GACGAACGCUGGCGGCGUGCUUAACACAUGCAAGUCGAACGGAAAGGCCCUGCUUUUGUGGGGUGCUCGAGAGGCGAACGGGUGAGUAACACGUGAGUAACCUGCCCUUGACUUUGGGAUAACUUCGGGAAACUGGGGCUAAUACCGGAUAGGAGCUCCUGCUGCAUGGUGGGGGUUGGAAAGUUUCGGCGGUUGGGGAUGGACUCGCGGCUUAUCAGCUUGUUGGUGGGGUAGUGGCUUACCAAGGCUUUGACGGGUAGCCGGCCUGAGAGGGUGACCGGCCACAUUGGGACUGAGAUACGGCCCAGACUCCUACGGGAGGCAGCAGUGGGGAAUAUUGCACAAUGGGCGGAAGCCUGAUGCAGCAACGCCGCGUGCGGGAUGACGGCCUUCGGGUUGUAAACCGCUUUCGCCUGUGACGAAGCGUGAGUGACGGUAAUGGGUAAAGAAGCACCGGCUAACUACGUG